GACGUAGGGAGCGAGCGUUGUCCGGAAUUACUGGGCGUAAAGAGCUCGUAGGCGGGACCGUAAGUCCGAGAGGAAAUCUCAAGGCUCAACUUUGGGGCUUUCUUGGAUACUGCGGUUCUUGAGGAUGAGAGAGGUAAGUAGAAUUCCCGGUGUAGCGGUGAAAUGCGUAGAUAUCGGGAGGAAUACCAGUGGCGAAGGCGGACUUACUGGCUCAUUCCUGACGCUGAGGAGCGAAAGCGUGGGGAGCAAACGGGG
rnacentral:rRNA from 1 species